UGUACAAUUAUGUACUAUAACAAUUCUAAAAUUGCAAUAAACACCUCAUUAAAUGAUAAAGCUUUAAAAGUUACUGAAGUGUUGUUGACUGUUGAGAGUAUAUUACUUUUUUAUGUCCCCCACUAUAGUAGUGGGGGACAUAUUGUUUUUGCCCUGUCUGUUGGUCUGUCUGUUGGUCUGUUUGCGCCAACUUUAACAUUUUGCAAUAACUUUUGCUAUAUUGAAAAUAGCAACUUCAUAUUUGGCAUGCAUGUGUAUCUUAUGAAGCUGCACAUUUUGAGUGUUGAAAGGUCAAGGUCAAGGUCAUCCUUCAAGGUCAGAGGUCAAAUAUAUGUGGCCCAAAUCGCUUAUUUUAUGAAUACUUUUGCAAUAUUGAAGAUAGCAACUUGAUAUUUGGCAUGCAUGUGUAUCUUAUGGAGCUGCACAUUUUGAGUGUUGAAAGGUCAAGGUCAAGGUCAUCCUUCAAGGUCAGAGGUCAAAUAUAUGUGGCCCAAAUCGCUUAUUUUAUGAAUACUUUUGCAAUAUUGAAGAUAGCAACUUGAUAUUUGGCAUGCAUGUGUAUCUCAUGGAGCUGCACAUUUUGAGUGGUGAAAGGUCAAGGUCAUCUUUCACAAGGUCAAGGUCAUCCUUCACAAGGUCAAGGUCAUAUAUAGGGGACAUUGUGUUCCUCAAACACAUCUUGUUUUUAUAUUUUCUUAGUAAAUGUAUUCCUGUUAAUAUUGUUUAUUGUUAAACAUUUCCAAAUAACUAUUGUUAC